rnacentral:rRNA from 1 species
UACGUAGGCAGCGAGCGUUGUUCGGAAUUAUUGGGCGUAAAGAGUGUGUAGGCGGUGCUCCAAGUCUGUUGUGAAAUCUCCCGGCUUAACUGGGAGGGUGCGGCGGAAACUGGAAUGCUAGAGGGUGGGAGAGGUAAGCGGAAUUCCUGGUGUAGCGGUGAAAUGCGUAGAUAUCGUAAGGAAGACCAGUGGCGAAGGCGAGUCUCUGGACAGCAACUGACGCUGAGGCACGAAGGCCAGGGGAGCAAACGGG